GACUGGUCCAAUUUUGUUUCUGAACAGAAUUCGUUUGCGUGGUUUGGACUGACGAACUAACUGGUGCGGUGGAACAGGAGAAUUUCCUGCUUGACAAAGGGCGACUGAAACUUCGGACCAUAAAGGAGGCCUUUAAUGCUUCGCUUGUUAGGAUAUGUAUUCGUGAUGUACCUUGCAUUGUUUCCUUUGGAGAGGGGGAUUUCAUCCCAAUACGUUUUGUCAGUGGCUCUACAGUUCAAAUGUCUGGACAUUCUAAACAUCACUCGGCGAGCUCAUGAACUUCAAGUUCUUACUCGUAUUCAUUCGCCAAGAUGUGCACAAUAUCGCCAUGAAGAUACAAGUGGAGCUAACCAUAAAGUACUUAUUACUCCCCAAAUGGUAUUAAUGUGGCAAUAAGAACUAGAAAAAGUACUCAGCGAUUAAUUGGUCAAUUUUUGACUAAAGAGGGACAAACAUACUUUUGUAGUGUCAUCAAGUAAGAAUCUGAAUCUGAAAACAUUUGUCAUUAUUGACAGUAUUGUGAAUGUUCUAGAGAACACUUAGGACUGUUUUUUUACUUGACUCCUUCAAUACAGAGGGUGCCAUACUGAUGAAAUGAUGGCAAUACCCCAACCACUUGUUAACUUCAGGGCUCGACACAAACGGUAGCCCACUCCACAGACCAGUAGAAAUUCAGUUUUGGUGAGUGGUUUUUCGGUUACCAUUAGCCAGUUUGGCUGGUAAACAACUGAAAUUGUCGUGGCAUCUAAGAUGUCACCAGCCACUUGGCUAGUAAGUUGAAAAGUUAGUGUCGAGCCAGGGACUUUUCAUUCCAGUUUUCUUUGAAAUACACUACUAUACAUGUAGUAAAGCUGAUUGAAACUGUUAGCUGUAAAACAUUCCGUCACAGACAUAAAUAACUUAAAGAAUUAACAUUCUUGAUUAAUCUUCUCAUUUUAGUAAUCAAAUAAACAGUUGCAUAUAAUUUA